ensembl:lncRNA
GUGUGAGCUGCAUCUUAUGGAAAGCAUGCACAUGCACAUUGGGCGCCUCUUGCAGCCAUGUGUUUUCUUGCAGAACAACAAUGAGAUGAAGAUGGGGCAUUAAGCCCUUGGAGAACAUUGACACAUUGCAUGGACAACAAGAUGACCUUGGUAUGGACUCAAUCCUGUUUACACUGUACUUAGAGUGCAUCACUCUGCUUCAGCAGAUCUGGUCCUGGUGCCUGUGAGAAUAACACCGUGAUGCUACUGAUGGUGAACCACUGAAACUGAGCUGCAGACGACUGUGGUUUCCCGUUUCUCCACAAGAGCAGAUUAGACAUUGCAUAACAAAAUUUUGCAAAGGGAACCUGCUCUGUCACUGUGACACUGAGCAUGGACGGG